ensembl:lncRNA
GGUGACCAGAAGCAAUGGAAUCGUGGAAUAAUUUAAUGGAAAUUCUAAUUGGAGCAUAGAACUCUUCUUGAGAAAAAAAAAACACCCACCAAAACAAGUGGCAGCAAAGAUAAUGAAUGAGGAGAGGAGCGGAAAACCCCCUGCAUGGUGGAUGGGUGUAGUUUGAUGCAGGUACAUCUGCCAAUACACCUCCAACACAAACAUCAGUGGAAAGCAAAUGAGGCAAGGCAGGUAGAUUUAGUCUAAAAAAGGUCAUACUCAAAGAGACUAAACAAAGAGGCAAGACUACCACCCCAGGAUGUGCCUGGUUGAGGGAGAGGGCUCUGUAGCAAAGCAGAUGAGGCACCACAAACAACCCUUUACCAUGACCAAAGCAUCUCAAGGAAUGUUUUUUUUUUAAUGAUAAUGAUGCUAGAGCAAACACAAAUAUUCCUCCAGGCACCAUCAAGCCCUACUUGUUGGGCAGUAUUUGCCCCACUUCUUGGGCAGUAUUUGCCAAUGGCUGUUUUAUCAGUUACAUUUAGGAAGCCCAGCUGAGGCAAAAAUACGUCAGACGGUAAAUGCUGUCAGCUGGUGGCUGACUGCUUUGUGACAGGAAUCCAACAGGAGUCUUUGGUUUGUCUUUCCUUUCAGCUUUCAGCUGCUGCCAAAGAGGUUUGUUCCUGUUCUCCCAGUCUGUACACUGGUCUACUUAUCUUAUUUAUUUUAUUUAUUUUUUAUUUUAUUGUUUAUUUAUUUAUUUACUUUUAUUUAUAUAUUUGAUUCCUAUUACCUUGCUGCUAUUACACCUGAAUUUCCCUAAGGGGAUUAAUACAAGUUUAUCUUAUCUUAGUGACACCUUUAGUAUUUAGUGGCCUUCCUCACUCUGUGGUGUGUCAGAUGAUCAAAACUAAAGUUUCAUCUCUGGACGUUUGCCAUGUGACACGGGUGUUUUUCCUCAAUAAUGUGCUUGAGUCAGUCUUGAGUCCAGCCUUUGCCAGGCUGCCCGCACACGGUCUUGCAUACCUGGCUUGUGUGCAUUCUCUUUCCAGACCAGGAGAGCAGACCUCUCUGUGGUAAUUUUGUGCCACACGCACAUGGACAUGUGUACCCUGCAUCGUAUGAUAGCACAGUCCCACUCCAGACUCAACCUCACAACCUCACACACGAGAUGCAGGUGUACCAUAUGUGCCACAUCAAAUUGGGCACUGUCCUGGUUACUGCAUCAGAUAUGGCAGAUCAGGUAGCAACACUGGUUACUGCAUCAGAUAUGGCAGAUCAGGUAGCAAC